rnacentral:rRNA from 1 species
CACGUAGGGACCAAGCGUUGUCCGGAUUCAUUGGGCGUAAAGAGCUCGUAGGCGGUUCGAUAAGUCGGGUGUGAAACCUCCAGGCUCAACCUGGAGACGCCACCCGAUACUGUCGUGACUAGAGUCCAGUAGGGGAGCGUGGAAUUCCUGGUGUAGCGGUGAAAUGCGCAGAUAUCAGGAGGAACACCAGCGGCGAAGGCGGCGCUCUGGGCUGGAACUGACGCUGAGGAGCGAAAGCGUGGGGAGCAAUCCGG